AAUCUUAUAUUUUAAGAAAAAAAUAUUAAAUUGCAAGUUUAAAGAUGAUUUAGUUUCUAAGAUUU
rnacentral:tRNA from 1 species